GACGAACGCUGGCGGCGUGCUUAACACAUGCAAGUCGAACGGAAAGGCCUGCUUUCCCUUGUGGAUUGCGGGUACUCGAGUGGCGAACGGGUGAGUAACACGUGAGUGAUCUGCCCCCAACUUGGGUAUAAGCCUGGGAAACUGGGUCUAAUUCCCGAUAGGACUGCAGGGUGGUGCCUGUGGUGGAAAACGAUUUUCUAGUGGUUGGGGAUGAGCUCGCGGCCUAUCAGCUUGGUGGUGGGGGAAUGGCCUACCAAGGCGGCGACGGGUAGCCGGCCUGGGAGGGUGGACGGCCACAUUGGGACUGAGAUACGGCCCAGACUCCUCCGGGAGGCAGCAGUGGGGAAUAUUGCACAAUGGGCGGAAGCCUGAUGCAGCGACGCCGCGUGGGGGAUGACGGCCUUCGGGUUGUAAACUCCUUUCGACCGCGAGGAAGCCACCUGGUUGGAAGGGUGGUGACGGUAGUGGUAGAAGAAGCACCGGCUAACUACGUG
rnacentral:rRNA from 1 species